rnacentral:lncRNA from 1 species
CUUUCAUCCUUAUCCAUUUUGUGCGCCACAUUACUUACACGAGAAAAGGUUUCUCGUGAAACAUUUUCUACGCACAAAGAGCCACGCCCCUUCUCUUCUCACAUCCAAAAGGAUAGGGAUAAGUUGGUUUUCGUUUGAAUUCAAAUUUGAUUUGAAUUCAAAUGUGUAACCUCUUGUCUUUAUCCUCUCACGCGGAUAAGACACGUUCGACGUUGUUUUAAAAAGAGGAGAAAUGUGGGACGUGCGUAGAAAAUUUAGGAGAGAAA